CGGGUGAGUAACACGUAUCCAACCUGCCGUCUACUCUUGGACAGCCUUCUGAAAGGAAGAUUAAUACAAGAUGGCAUCAUGAGUCCGCAUGUUCACAUGAUUAAAGGUAUUCCGGUAGACGAUGGGGAUGCGUUCCAUUAGAUAGUAGGCGGGGUAACGGCCCACCUAGUCUUCGAUGGAUAGGGGCUCUGAGAGGAAGGUCCCCCACAUUGGAACUGAGACACGGUCCAA
rnacentral:rRNA from 1 species